CAAAAUGCGAUACUUGGUGUGAAUUGCAGAAUCCCGUGAACCAUCGAGUUUUUGAACGCAAGUUGCGCCCGAAGCCUUUCGGCUGAGGGCACGUCUGCCUGGGCGUCACGC
rnacentral:rRNA from 1 species